rnacentral:rRNA from 1 species
GCGUACACGGUGGAUGCCCUGGCAGUCAGAGGCGAUGAAGGACGUGCUAAUCUGCGAUAAGCGUCGGUAAGGUGAUAUGAACCGUUAUAACCGGCGAUUUCCGAAUGGGGAAACCCAGUGUGUUUCGACACACUAUCAUUAACUGAAUCCAUAGGUUAAUGAGGCGAACCGGGGGAACUGAAACAUCUAAGUACCCCGAGGAAAAGAAAUCAACCGAGAUUCCCCCAGUAGCGGCGAGCGAACGGGGAGCAGCCCAGAGCCUGAAUCAGUAUGUGUGUUAGUGGAAGCGUCUGGAAAGGCGCGCGAUACAGGGUGACAGCCCCGUACACAAAAAUGCACAUGCUGUGAGCUCGAUGAGUAGGGCGGGACACGUGGUAUCCUGUCUGAAUAUGGGGGGACCAUCCUCCAAGGCUAAAUACUCCUGACUGACCGAUAGUGAACCAGUACCGUGAGGGAAAGGCGAAAAGAACCCCGGCGAGGGGAGUGAAAAAGAACCUGAAACCGUGUACGUACAAGCAGUGGGAGCACGCUUAGGCGUGUGACUGCGUACCUUUUGUAUAAUGGGUCAGCGACUUAUAUUCUGUAGCAAGGUUAACCGAAUAGGGGAGCCGAAGGGAAACCGAGUCUUAACUGGGCGUUAAGUUGCAGGGUAUAGACCCGAAACCCGGUGAUCUAGCCAUGGGCAGGUUGAAGGUUGGGUAACACUAACUGGAGGACCGAACCGACUAAUGUUGAAAAAUUAGCGGAUGACUUGUGGCUGGGGGUGAAAGGCCAAUCAAACCGGGAGAUAGCUGGUUCUCCCCGAAAGCUAUUUAGGUAGCGCCUCGUGAAUUCAUCUCCGGGGGUAGAGCACUGUUUCGGCAAGGGGGUCAUCCCGACUUACCAACCCGAUGCAAACUGCGAAUACCGGAGAAUGUUAUCACGGGAGACACACGGCGGGUGCUAACGUCCGUCGUGAAGAGGGAAACAACCCAGACCGCCAGCUAAGGUCCCAAAGUCAUGGUUAAGUGGGAAACGAUGUGGGAAGGCCCAGACAGCCAGGAUGUUGGCUUAGAAGCAGCCAUCAUUUAAAGAAAGCGUAAUAGCUCACUGGUCGAGUCGGCCUGCGCGGAAGAUGUAACGGGGCUAAACCAUGCAC